rnacentral:rRNA from 1 species
CUUGCCCAUUUAGAGGAAGUAAAAGUCGUAACANGNUUUCCGUAGGUGAACCUGCGGAAGGAUCAUUAGUGAAUUAUAGGGCGUCUACUUGUAGAGCCUGACCUCCACUUCUAACACUGUGCACUUGAUGGCGAGGUAAUGGAACUUUCGAGUGAAACUACCUUGCGGCUUCAUUUUAAACAUUAGUCAAAGUAUGUAAUGAAAUAUUAAAACAAAAAAAAAACUUUCAACAACGGAUCUCUUGGCUCUCGCAUCGAUGAAGAACGCAGCGAAAUGUGAUAAGUAAUGUGAAUUGCAGAAUUCAGUGAAUCAUCGAAUCUUUGAACGCACCUUGCGCUCCCUGGUAUUCCGGGGAGCAUGCCUGUUUGAGUGUCAUGAACUCUUCAACCCACCAGUUUCUAGUAGACUGCGUUGGUGUUUGGAUUUUGAGCGUUGCUAGUCUGACUAGCUCGUUCGUAAUAUAUUAGCAUCUCUAAUUCGAAUUCGGAUUGACUCAGUGUAAUAGACUAUUCGCUGAGGACACUUUUAUUAGUGGCCGUACUAGAACCAGUAGAAGCUUCCAACUAUUGUAGUCAACUUUAGAUUAGACCUCAGAUCAGGCAGGAUUACCCGCUGAACUUAAGCAUAUCAAUAAGCGGAGGA